CUUGCCACCCUUGCCACCCUAGGCGGCCCGCCCGGGUGGGGCUGCUCUCGGACCCCGCCCCGGAGCGCUCCUCGCCGGCGGAGAGGAGGCCCGGGAAAACAGAAAAUGCUGGGCGGGAAGGGGAGGCCUGCGGACCGAGAACCAGAAGCGUCCUGGUUCCGGGUGCUGCCCGCCAGGCUCUCGGCCGGGAGGGGAGGGUGGCCCGGCCGGCGCACGCCGGGUACACGCGGCGCUGCACACCGCCACUUGGCGGCUGCGGCAGCGGGUGGCGGCUGGCCCAUAGGGGGCGCGCACAGACCCAGGCAAUGGCGCGGACGCGUGUGCGGCGGCUCACACGCCUCUGCAUACACAUGAUCACUUACACGCACGUGCGGCUAGACACGCGAGCUGCCCCCAGCUCCCAGCACGGAGGCGAGGAAAGUGUCCUACCGAGGGGGGCCGAAUUAGAGGCUCGUUAGCUGGUCCCCGCGGCUAGUGGCAGAACCCUAGGAGCUGGGGGCGAGGGUCUUAGAAGAAACAGAGGCUAGGGUCCCCCCACCCCCACUUUACAGGUGCGUGCCCAGGUCCCAUCCCCGGGCUGGAGUUUGCUUCUCACGCAGAACGCUGCCGCGCUGUCUUUGUCUUUGGAACCUGCCUGGAGACCGGGAGGCGCUUCUUUCACUUCUGCUGCGGAGGAAUCCCUUUGGCAUUUAUACUGCGCUGCCCAGCUUACGAAGCACUUCGACACACAUUGCUUGUCCCUGAGGCGUGCUGUUUCUAGGUGGCGAUGGCGCUAGACGGAUAAAAGAUCGUGAUUUGGAGUGCGGCUCCAGCCCAGUGGACUGGUUUGGAUCCUGCCUCCUCCAUCCAGCUGUGUAACCAGAGCAACGUUCAAAACAUUGAAUAACCAGUAGGACAGGCAGGGACCAAUCAGAACAGACCCUGCCCUAAACACCAGGUACAGCCAUAUGUGUGUACCUGCUGAAGAUUCUGGAAUAAUCUCAACCUCCUUGGGCCUCAGUGUUUGUACCUGCAGUAUGGACACAAUGAUCCGAAUAGUACCACUCUCUAGGGCUGUAGUGAAGGCUAAAUUAGUUAAUGCAUAUAAACGAUUGAGAAACCAUUGUCUGCCACAUAGAAGAGAGCUUUAUUACUCAGACUCAGUGACCCAGGGAGAUUGCCACUCGUAAGGGUGAUCCUUAGAUGAGCCCACUGUAUGCACCCAAACCUGCCUCCUGGCUCCCCUACUCCUUCCCACACCUCCUGGUCUGGCCCUCUGGUUAUUCUACUCUCUAGAAGUGUGUGCCUCUCAAACCUUCCCAUGUAUGCAAAUUUCUGGAAGAUCUUGUUACCCUGCAGAAUUGCAGAUUCUGAUGGAGGAGGUCUGUGUGGGGCUUGGGAUUCUCUAGUUCCUACCAGCUCCUACCAGGCGGUGCUGAUGCGUGUCUGAGAAGCAAGACUCGUGAAGAUCCCUGCAGAAACAAAGGUGUCAGCUGAUCCAUCUGGCAGUGUUUACUGAGCACCUACUCAAUGCAAGGCUGUGUAAGGAUCC
rnacentral:lncRNA from 1 species